UGUAAAGAGUUCUGCUUAGUCAUUAUGAGUCAAUGAAUUUAUCUAUAUACGCACACACUGUCAUAUAUUGACACACAAAGGAAAAAAAGACAACACAAAGUUAAGAGACUGCAGAACAAAAGUUGAGGAAGCUUUCUCUGCCACACUCAAAGAGCUACAUGAUAGAUUUUCAUUGCACAGCAGAGGAGAUGGAACAGCCUGCUUUGAGGAAAGGAAAGGAAUUUUUUGGCUGUUUUGAAAAAACAGUGAUGUUAAAGGUAGCUACUGAACACAGAGAAGAAAGGUACUGUUCAGUGAGCAGAAAAGUCACCUUGUGUUUAAGUCAUGGACUACAAAAGCGCAAAUAAAAUUAUUCAUGCACAGUGAAUGGAAUUUCUGGAGUUCUGUAGUCCAAUAAGCCAUGUG